AGUGAACGCUGGCGGUAGGCCUAACACAUGCAAGUCGAACGGCAGCACAGUAAGAGCUUGCUCUUACGGGUGGCGAGUGGCGGACGGGUGAGGAAUACAUCGGAAUCUACUUUUUCGUGGGGGAUAACGUAGGGAAACUUACGCUAAUACCGCAUACGACCUACGGGUGAAAGCAGGGGAUCUUCGGACCUUGCGCGAUUGAAUGAGCCGAUGUCGGAUUAGCUAGUUGGCGGGGUAAAGGCCCACCAAGGCGACGAUCCGUAGCUGGUCUGAGAGGAUGAUAGGCCACACUGGAACUGAGACACGGUCCAGACUCCUACGGGAGGCAGCAGUGGGGAAUAUUGGACAGUGGGCGCAAGCCUGAUCCAGCCAUACCGCGUGGGUGAAGAAGGCCUUCGGGUUGUAAAGCCCUUUUGUUGGGAAAGAAAAGCAGCAGGUUAAUACCCCGCUGUUCUGACGGUACCCAAAGAAUAAGCACCGGCUAACUUCGUG
rnacentral:rRNA from 1 species